rnacentral:rRNA from 1 species
AACGUAGGUGGCGAGCGUUAUCCGGAUUUACUGGGCGUAAAGGGCUCGUAGGCGGACCGGUGUGUCUGGCGUGAAAUCUCCACUGCUUAACAGGGAGGGGCCGCUGGAAACUGCCGAUCUUGAGUAUGGUAGAGGACCAUGGAAUUCCGGGUGUAGCGGUGGAAUGCGUAGAUAUCCGGAAGAACACCGGUGGCGAAGGCGGUGGUCUGGACCAAAACUGACGCUGAGGAGCGAAAGCCAGGGGAGCAAACGGG